rnacentral:rRNA from 1 species
GACGGAGGAUGCAAGCGUUAUCCGGAAUGAUUGGGCGUAAAGCGUCCGCAGGUGGCAGUUCAAGUCUGCUGUCAAAGACCGGGGCUUAACUUCGGAAAGGCAGUGGAAACUGAACAGCUAGAGUAUGGUAGGGGCAGAGGGAAUUCCUGGUGUAGCGGUGAAAUGCGUAGAGAUCGGGAGGAACAUCAGUUGCGAAGGCGGCUCUCUGGACCAGCACUGACACUGAGGCACGAAAGCGUGGGGAGCAAACAGG